GACGGAGGAGGCAAGCGUUGUCCGGAUUGACCGGGCGUAAAGCGCGUGUAGGUGGGAUCUUAAGUCGGUGGUGAAAUCCUCCCGCUCAACGGGAGAACUGCCGCCGAAACUGAGGUUCUUGAGGGCAGGAGAGGAGAGUGGAAUUGCUGGUGUAGCGGUGAAAUGCGUAGAGAUCAGCAAGAACACCCGUGGCGAAGGCGACUCUCUGGACUGCUCCUGACACUGAGACGCGAAAGCCAGGGGAGCGAACGGG
rnacentral:rRNA from 1 species